AGGAUGGAGAGAGAGUGGACAAAGAGAGGGUCCUGGAAGAACCAGACCGCCGAUAUGAGGAGCAGUCAAACGCAAUGUCCCGAAAAAGGUCAACCUCUCCGAACAUCCCUGUGAAAAGAUGUCGAGUCUCUCCCCGAGCUGCUCCACCUUACUCCUGUACCUGCCUGCGAGGCUCCACCACGGCUCUGUGUGUUUGUCGACUUAAUGCUGGAACAAGGCUCUAAUCUGCCAUUAAAACAGGGGGAGAGAGAGGCUUACUGGUGUUUCUCUUACAAAUCCACUUCCAGAAAACCCCCGUCAGAGAUGCUGCACUGCAUCCCAAAGGAUUAGUGAUGGGGCUAGCACCGAGAGGAGAGGAGAGAAGAUGAGAGGAGAGCAGAGGAGAAGAGAGGAUCAUAAAAGGUCAAAAAGCAAUGAUGUGAUGAAGGAAAGGUGCAGAUAAAAAAAGGUGAAUGGAUAGAAGGCUGCAGGGACAGCCUAACAGGCACACAGGACACCUACAGUAGGUGAGAAAAUGAAAUGUGUGUCUGUGUGUACAGACAUUGCAUUUGUGUAUGCUUACACGGGAACACGCAAGAGACGGAAAUGAAAAGGAAAAUGACACACGAACGCAGGGGAGUAGGUAGGAGCAAGAGAACGAGGACAAAAGGAAGAAAGAGGUGCUGGUGCUGUGUGGGUGUGCUCGUUGUAGAAUGAGGGGUUGUGGGCUGUUACAUUUAAUAUCUGGUAUCCACACAGCGUUUACAUGAUGUGUGCAAAUGUCAGUUACCAACAGGUCCCCGCUCUGCGUCUUAACCCCUUUCAACCUGUUCAAAUACACAACUGAUUUACUCCUGCGUGCUCCCUCCAUCCUCCUUUCUUGGCUCAGCCUUUGCUUUAAUGAUAGCCAGAGAGUACAGCCCUCCUAGUGUCACUGUGAUGCAGCCCAGGCAUGACUAACACCUUUCUGAAGGCUGUCCAUCUGUGGUGGGAACACCGGAGAGCCAGAGCAGGGGUCUGAAAUGGAGCAGUCCUGACAGGCAGAUGGCUCAGAUUCUCCGUGCCAGGACUGUGCCCGGUUCCCUCCACCCACGCAACUCACCCCCUCUUGGCUCAGCCCAUCUGUGGACUGGCCUUGAGGGGAAUGAACGUGGCCCACCUGGGCUGAUGGGGUUGCAGUGUCCAUUUUGUUCUGAGUCAGAGGUCCGUCAGAGCCUAAAACACACUUAGCGAAGGAGCAACACACAAACGCUCAUCCACGGAGCUGCCCCUCUAAAGGUAAGUGAAGGGAUUUUUUUCUUCUUCUCCGCCACAACACUCCCGGCAUUUCCGCGGGCAGUUGCCAUGGCUGCGGUAAAGUAAGCGACCACCUGUGGGCUCCCCUUCUGAUGUAAAAGAAGAGAAAGGCAAAAAGAGACAAAUCAACAGACUGAUUGACCCAGAGUACCCUGGAAUAAAUCCAACAUUUCCAAACCCUCUGAUGUUUCAGGACAUUCACGCAGGCAGAUAAAAACAUCUUGAUUCAGCAGACAGGAAAGCCUUUCGUGAGCAUGGGCAGCAGAUAUUAGCCCGGGUCAGAGCAGCCUGAACCCCCCCAAAGCAACUGGCUCCACAGAUUCCUCUCCUGCUGGACAUCAAUCUUCAGAGCUGCUGUCUAGGCAAAGAGCAGAUUUGAUUUCUCCACUGAACAGAACUCAACCCUUGACCUUGAGUUGCUAUGGUUACUGUAAAGCGGGUGGUAGCAGUAGCUGCAGCCCUGCAGGAUGCAGAGCCGCUGUGAACAUUAUAGGAAUAGAUAUCAAUUUCUACAAGCCCCUCGCAAAGUGUAAAAGAGUCGGGAAUCCCGCUGCUGUCAAUAAAUUACCUAUUUAUGUCUGGCCUUGAA